rnacentral:rRNA from 1 species
UACGUAGGGGGCAAGCGUUGUCCGGAUUUAUUGGGCGUAAAGAGCGUGUAGGCGGCCAUGUAGGUCCGUUGUGAAAACUCGAGGCUCAACCUCGAGACGCCGAUGGAAACCACGUGGCUAGAGUCCGGAAGAGGAGAGUGGAAUUCCUGGUGUAGCGGUGAAAUGCGCAGAUAUCAGGAAGAACACCAAUGGCGAAGGCAGCUCUCUGGGACGGUACUGACGCUGAGACGCGAAAGCGUGGGGAGCGAACAGG